GAUGAACGCUGGCGGCGUGCCUAAUACAUGCAAGUCGAGCGAACGGACGAGAAGCUUGCUUCUCUGAUGUUAGCGGCGGACGGGUGAGUAACACGUGGAUAACCUACCUAUAAGACUGGGAUAACUUCGGGAAACCGGAGCUAAUACCGGAUAAUAUUUUGAACCGCAUGGUUCAAAAGUGAAAGACGGUCUUGCUGUCACUUAUAGAUGGAUCCGCGCUGCAUUAGCUAGUUGGUAAGGUAACGGCUUACCAAGGCAACGAUGCAUAGCCGACCUGAGAGGGUGAUCGGACACACUGGAACUGAGACACGGUCCAGACUCCUACGGGAGGCAGCAGUAGGGAAUCUUCCGCAAUGGGCGAAAGCCUGACGGAGCAACGCCGCGUGAGUGAUGAAGGUCUUCGGAUCGUAAAACUCUGUUAUUAGGGAAGAACAGAUGUGUAAGUAACUGUGCACAUCUUGACGGUACCUAAUCAGAAAGCCACGGCUAACUACGUG
rnacentral:rRNA from 1 species